GCGGAAGGAUCAUUAUUGAAAUUAUAGGUGAGGGUUGUAGCUGGCCUCUCGGGGCAUGUGCACGCCCGAGCCCUUAAUCCACACACACCUGUGAACCUAUUGUAAGGGCCCUUAAAAAAGGCCUUUACGUCUUAUCAUCAACCCAUCGUAUGUCUCAUAGAAUGUAAAUAUAUGUCCUCGCCUUAAAAAGCGUUGAUAAACUUAUACAACUUUCAACAACGGAUCUCUUGGCUCUCGCAUCGAUGAAGAACGCAGCGAAAUGCGAUAAGUAAUGUGAAUUGCAGAUUUUCAGUGAAUCAUCGAAUCUUUGAACGCACCUUGCGCUCCUUGGUAUUCCGAGGAGCAUGCCUGUUUGAGUGUCAUUAAAUUCUCAACUCUGAUCGAUUUGUUUCGACUUCGGAGCUUGGAUUUGGAGCGUGCUGGCGUCGGUCGGCUCCUCUUAAAUGCAUCAGCGGAAUCUAACGUUUCGGANGUCAGUGUGAUAAUCAUGUUGCGCUGUCUGUCUGAUCCGAAAGCCCGCUCAC
rnacentral:rRNA from 1 species